ensembl:misc_RNA Metazoa_SRP Metazoan signal recognition particle RNA
GCCAGGCAUGGUGGUGCAUGCCUAUAGUCCCAGCUCCUUGGAAGGCUGGGGUGGGAGGAUUGCUUGAGGCCAGGAGUUCAAGGUUGCAGUGCGUUAUGCUUGUGCCUGUGAAUAGCCACUGCACUCCAGCCUGGACAACGUAGCAAGACCCUGUCUCUA